rnacentral:misc_RNA from 1 species
GAAAAUCUAAAGAAAAAAAAAACAAAGUUUUUUACAUUGAAAUUUCAAGAAUUCAUUCCCAAAGCUUGAAAAACACCAUUCUUGAAUCACACAAAAUCACAAAAGAAUGAGUCUUUACAUUGUAUUUCAAUUCAUUCCCAAAGCUUGAAAAACACCAUUCUUGAAUCACACAAAAUCACAAAAGAAUGAGUCUUUACAUUGUAUUUCAAGAAUUCCCAAAGCUUUGAAAUCACCAUUCUUGAAAAAAGUUCCAAAGAAAAAAAUAUAUAAAAAUUGAGUCUUUACAUUGAAUUUCAAGAAUUUCCCAAUAAAAGAUGCCACCUUUUAUUGGAUCUCAUCCUCUUUCAUCUGGUUUUUCAAGAAACUCCAUUGAUUCAUCUUCAAAUAUUGUCACCAUUGAUGUAGGUGGUCAUCUUUUUCAAACAACCAAACAAACCCUAAAGCAAUCAGGUUCAAAAUCAAUACUUUCUGAAAUUUCAAAUCUUGAUGGUUCCAUUCCUUUCAUCGAUAGAGAUCCAGAAAUGUUCUCAAUCUUGCUUUCCCUUUUAAGAACUGGGAAUCUCCCUUCAAAAGCCAAAACUUUUGAUAUUCAAGAUUUGGUUUUUGAAUCUCAGUUUUAUGGUGUUGAGCAUCUGUUAUUGAAUUCCCAUUCUAACCCUUCUCAGUUUGAGCCUUUUGAUCUUGAAAAAUCUUUGAUUUUGCCUUUAAGUGGUAGGGAUUCACCUACUGCUAUCUCAACAACUCAAUUAGGGUCAGUUCAGGUAGCUCAUGGUUGUAAAAUCACUUCAUUUGAUUGGUCAUUAAAGAGAAAAUCAACCAUUUUAACACAAUUUGCUGGUAUUGACUCUAUGUUAUCUGUAUCACCAAAUGUUGUUGCUGCUGGUGCUACUGACUUUUCAGGUUUACAAAUUAUUGAUGUUAGUAAAGGUUUUGUUAAAGAAACUUUGAAUUGGGAAAAUGUUACCAAGUCUGGUUCAACAGUACAAGGCAUAGGUGCUUCAAAAGAGUUUUUGUUUACGAGUUUCGAAUCAUCUAGGAGAAACUCUAACUGCAUUAUGAUAUAUGAUUUGAGUGAUAAUGGUUUUAGGCCUGUUUCUGAGAUAGGUCAUUAUGAAAUCUUUGGUGCUGAAUUAGAUUCCGCGAUUCCAGCUACUAAACUUAGAUGGAUUCCUAGUUAUAACUUGUUGAUGGCUGCUGGUUCACACAGUGGACCUUCUGGUGUUAGAGGGAACAUUAGGUUUUGGGACUUGAGAUCAGGGAACGCGGUGUGGGAGAUCAAGGAAAAUGUUGAUUGCUUCGCUGAUUGCACUGUUUCGGAUGAUCUUUCAGCAAUUCUGAAAGUUGGCGUUCAUUCAGGCGAAGUUUUCAUAUCGGAUUUGAGAAACAUUGGUAAGGAAAAUACUUGGACUUGUCUUGGUGAUUCAAGAAAAGCAACAAAUGGUAAGAAAGAAGGGUUUGGGAGUAAAAUUGAGAGUCAUGGGAAUCAAGUUUUUUGUAGUAAAGGUGGAAAUCUCGAAUUAUGGUCUGAGGUUUUGAUUGGUUCUUCGAUUAAAGAUCGAGUCUUUAGGAAGAACUCAAUGGGGAGAGCAAAAGAUAGUUGUGGAAAUAAGAUAACACAUUUCAGCUUUGGAGGUAACAAGAUGUUUGUUACAAGGAAAGAUCAACAAUUUGUUGAAGUUUGGCAGAGUUCAGUAAGGGGAUUCUAAGAUUCUUCGAAAAUACACUACUACUUUUGAAAGAUACGACACGUGUGAAUUGCUCCUGGUUGUGCAUAAUCAUUUGAUAAUCAGAGUUAUUCUUCGAUAAAUGUUCACAGUGAGUCACACAUGUUUGAAGAGUACAGACAAGUUUGCUCCCCAGAGUCAUUCUUUGAUAAACAAUCGUGGUGAGUCAAGACAUGUUUGAAGAGUACGAGAAGAGUAGUCUGACUGAAGGACCAUCUUAUUAUCAAUCUAUUAACUCUUGCUGCUCAUUAUUAUAAAUUCUGUAUAUACUUUCUUUAGUUGAACUGCACAAAUUGUAUGUAUAUAAAGAGAGUGGAAUAUCAAACUUCAAUUUGC